rnacentral:rRNA from 1 species
CGGGGUGCAGCAGGCGCGAAAACUUUACAAUGCUGGCAACAGCGAUAAGGGGACCUCGAGUGCCAGGUUACAAAUCUGGCUGUUGAGAUGCCUAAAAAGCAUUUCAUAGCAAGGGCCGGGCAAGACCGGUGCCAGCCGCCGCGGUAACACCGGCGGCUCGAGUGGUAACCGUUAUUAUUGGGUCUAAAGGGUCUGUAGCCGGCCGGAUAAGUCUCUUGGGAAAUCUGGCAGCUUACCUGUCAGGCUUUCAGGAGAUACUGUCUGGCUCGAGGCCGGGAGAGGUGAGAGGUACUUCAGGGGUAGGGGUGAAAUCUUGUAAUCCUUGAAGGACCACCAGUGGCGAAGGCGUCUCACCAGAACGGACCUGACGGCAAGGGACGAAAGCUAGGGGCACGAACCGGAUUAGAUACCCGGGUAGUCCUAGCCGUAAACGAUACUCGCUAGGUGUCGGCCACGGUGCGACCGUUGUCGGUGCCGUAGGGAAGCCGUGAAGCGAGCCACCUGGGAAGUACGGCCGCAAGGCUGAAACUUAAAGGAAUUGGCGGGGGAGCACAAGGGCGAAUGCGG